rnacentral:tRNA from 1 species
UGGGUUGUGGCUCAAUGGUAGAGCACUUGCCUAGCACGUGUGAGGCACUGGGUUCGAUCCUCAGCACCCAU